AGUUUGGCGCUCGUGGCGGGAGCUCGAUAUGGUAAACAACGCCAAAUGACGAUUUCCUGGAAAAGUCUGUCAAGAGUUAAGUCAUUCAGCGUUUGUCAACUGAUGCUUUAAAAGUAACUGUAGUUGUCUAAGAAUUUAUACCAUAUAUAUAUUUUACCCCCUUUUCAGACACUUACGACAUACAACUCCAAGCUGUGUUGAAAGCUGGGAACAAAAGUUUAUGUUCUAUCAAGAUCUAAUGAAACAAAGCAGGGUUUACCAAAUACUCCCCUGAUCUACCAUUUGUUGGACCAACAGAUAAUCCCGCCCCCCAACCUCAGGCUAUUGGUUAGGCCAGUGUUGUUGUGUUGGACUGGUCAGGAUGCUCAAAUAAACAGGGCCUCAGUGUUUACACAUUUCAUGCAAAUCAUCCUACAAAUCACUUACUUAUAGUUGUCUGUACAUAUUAAACUUGAAUAUGAG